GAUGAACGCUGGCGGCGUGCCUAAUACAUGCAAGUCGAGCGAACAGAUGAGGAGCUUGCUCCUCUGAUGUUAGCGGCGGACGGGUGAGUAACACGUGGAUAACCUACCUAUAAGACUGGGAUAACUUCGGGAAACCGUAGCUAAUACCGGAUAAUAUAUUGAACCGCAUGGUUCAAUAGUGAAAGACGGUUUUGCUGUCACUUAUAGAUGGAUCCGCGCUGCAUUAGCUAGUUGGUAAGGUAACGGCUUACCAAGGCAACGAUGCGUAGCCGACCUGAGAGGGUGAUCGGCCACACUGGAACUGAGACACGGUCCAGACUCCUACGGGAGGCAGCAGUAGGGAAUCUUCCGCAAUGGGCGAAAGCCUGACGGAGCAACGCCGCGUGAGUGAUGAAGGUCUUCGGAUCGUAAAACUCUGUUAUUAGGGAAGAACAAAUGUGUAAGUAACUAUGCACGUCUUGACGGUACCUAAUCAGAAAGCCACGGCUAACUACGUG
rnacentral:rRNA from 1 species